GGGUUUGAGGGAGCAGAGUCUAUUAAAUGCUAUGGCAACAGGUAGCAAAACAGUGCUCUCCCUCUUUCCCUAAUUAGUAGCUGUUAGCAUCUGGAGUUGACUGUUGGUGAUUGUAAUUUGCUUCACUCCAUCAUGUGAUGGUGUAAGGAUCAGUGGAGGGUGAUGCAAGGACCAGUCAAGAGAAAAUACACACUGAUCUUUCCACUUGUUUGAAAUUUCCAGAAAAUGAAAUUGCCUGUUGAAAAGAAAAUUCCCAUGGUAGAUCUGAGUGAAAUCUUUCCACAUAUAUGAGUGAUCCAAAUCCCUUGGAAAGGAGAGGUUUCAGUGCUUGGUUACUACCAAAAUCCACAAUUUUCUCACUGACUGGCUGAAGAGGAAAAAGGAGCUGACACCGAGAGAUGACAAAGAAAAGAUCUGUCAACUGAAACUCUACCCAGAACCAUUUUCUGUACGAAAUAAAAUGGGGUGGUGAAGUACCAGAGCUUGCCAGAUGGAAAUGAACAAUCUGUGUUGUAAUUUAACCAGAAAGGUACAGCUGUCUAUAUAAGGAGUAAAUAUAUGAUAAACUUUCAAGAGGAGCACGCACGUAGUCAGUGUGAGAGUGAAAUGAGAAGAAGCAGAACAGUUGUUUGUUAGCAUUAUUGUGUGGCUGUAAACAUUAGUGUUCACUGAGGAUAGCUAUGAGGAGUAGCGAAGCUGUCUUGAGCAGGACCUGAACACGCUGUCAUCUCUGCUGCAUCACCCAAAAUAAAACCACGUGCCUUGUGUGUGUGGGGGGAGAGGAAUUUGCUGCUGCAAGAGUCUCUUCAUGACAAGCAGGGAUGGCUGGAGAGGGAUGAAGGAGAGAGAAGCAGCGCCAAGUGAAGCGAUCAAGUUUUGAGUGUACAGCCCCAGAGGAGCUCUCAGAGAGAGCUUUGUGGCUGGAUGGGAACAGAGGUGGCUCCUAACAUUUCCUGAAGAGCAUCCCUCCAGGGAAGCAGUGCCCAGGCUGGGCUUUUGCUCCAGCUGCUGUGCCAAAGGUGGAUACAGCUGCAAGUGUAGUUGAGCUCAUCACAGUCAGGGGAAGAACGAGUGCUGAGACCACAGCAAAUCUGCUGGGGCCUUCUUGAGGAGUAAGACUGGGUUACUUCACAAGUGCAACGGCCCUGAAGUGGAGGUUUGUUUCUCUUGACACAUGGUAAUUUUAGUGCCUUUGGAAACUUUUAGUUAGAGUUUCAGGUAACUCUGACUUAAAAUGGAGCCACUGGCAGAUUUUCAGCACACCUGGGUAUGUGGUGAUGUUUUCAGGCAGCCUGUAUGAUUUCAGGCAACCUGCAUGAUUUCAGUUGAUGGUCAACACAGCACGGCAGACAUAACCAUCCAUUCUUCCUGCAGGCACUGUGCUGCCUCCAAGGCCCCUCAUGUAUAUUCAUAAAAUUAUAGAAUCAUUUAGGUUGGAAAAGAACCUUAAGGUCAUUGAGUCCAACUGUUACCCAGCGUGACCAAGCCCACCGCUAAAUCAUGCCUCUGAGCACGGCAUCUUCACAUCUUCUAAAUACCUCUAGGGAUGACAAUUCCACCGCUUUCCUGGGCAGCCUGUUCCAAUGUUUGACAGCCCUUUCAGUGAAGAAAUUUUUCCAUAUCCAAUCUAAACCUCCUCUGGUGUUACUUGAGGCCAUAUCCUUUUGGUCUGUCACUUAAUACUUGGGAAGAGAGACCCAUGUUGUUUCAUUCACCUCAUUGCUAAGAAGCGCAGUACUUUUUCGAUUUCCAUCCUGCUGCAAGCCAUCUGAGCUGCCAAAAAGUCUGAUAUCCAUCCCAGAAGCACUUACCCCAUUGCUACCAAGGACUUCUUUGCAUUUGUCCUGUUGGUAAGUGGUCUGCAACAUGCUCAUCUGUAAGAGUAUCAUGCAGACUUUAAUGAAAGGUUUUGGGGCUGAAUGAGGUUUUCUGUGUCCACUCUGACCUCCCUGCAGCAGUGCAGGUGAGCAGGCUGAGGCUUGCAAGACCAAAAGUAGAUGGAUGAUGUGAGAAGCAGAGCAACCCAUGGAGCUCACAGCAAGGGAGUAAAGCAAUUAGCUCAUUUCAGGGACUUUUCAACUGGUGCAAGCUACAUUUUGUAGUUAACUGCUUGAAAACACUUUAGUGGGACCAAGUCAUUCCCCAGACUUGUAAUGAUAGACACUGAGGUGUUAAUUUGCAGAAUGCAAAAUGGAGCCAGAUGACUUUUGGUUGAGAAGAUACUUUGCCUUCAUUUUGGGUUCCCAUCAAGGUCUGUUUCUCAGCAUAUAUCCUCUCUGCAAAGGUAGCCACAUUAUACAAUUAAGGCACAACAGUUUGGCAUCAACUAGGACUGGCAUCAUAGCAGAGAUCUGCAAACCCAUAUGCCAUCUGUUCUGCUCUCUUCAAAGUUUUUGGCUUUGUUAUAGUUUUGGCAGUCAACUCAAAAAGGAAAUGGUUAUUGAAAUCUGAACUCAAAUUUCUUGCCAGCAGACCACUGCUGGCUUAUCCUUGAAAAACUCAAACAAUCUCUGCUCUGUUCCCGAGCAGUGUAGGUGUAAUGGGGAUAAAAUCACUUUGUGGUAUUACAUGAAGUGAGUGGCCAUUUACUUGUACCAGCAGCGCUUUUGUGACAGGACUGGGAAGAUUCAUGCAGCCCUCAGACUGGAGGAGGUUAAUAGUAAGGAAAGGAUAUCACCAAGUCAAGAGAACAGAAAAGCUGUGGAGGUAGAAAUGUUGUUAAUGCAGACUGAAAUAAAAUCCAGACAAAUCUGUGAAACCUUUUCCUUUUCCAUUUGUCUCAAUACUCUCCAUGUUUAUGCCUCACGGAAUCACCUUAUACAUCUCUUUAUAUUAUACUUCCAUCAAAAGUGAAGGGUAUUAAUCAGUCAUCUGUAACAAACAUGAAAAUUGAAUAAUUAAUGACAGAUUAGAAGAUUGAGUUUUUGUCUUCAGUCAGUCCUGGACAUCUCUGGGUCUUUCCUUUGUUUUUUCCUGUUUUGCACAUGUAUGUUUCAUUUUGUACUUAAUUUCUCUCCAACCAAGAGGAUAGAAAACAGUAGAAGUAGAAAUAUUGAUAGUGCAGACUGAAAUUAAAUCCAGUCUCUUGCUAUACAAGGGGUCUCUGUAUUGCUAACAUGGUCUACAAGAUCCUCACCCAAGUCACAGGUUUCUCUUUUUGGCUGCUAGGUUUUUUAGCCUGAGCUGACCUUCCCUCAUAGUGUUUUCUUUAAAGCAGAAGAGACAUUGAACUAUAAACUUUAAAAAAACAUGUCACCCAUUCUCCCUCUCUCCUGAGAAGUUUACAAAUUGCUAAAGAAUGUGGAAAAAAAAGUAGUUUGGUUUAGACCAGGGAACCAUUCUCACUUCUAUAAGACAAAUCACACUUUUGCGUGUGCAUGUGAUGAGACACCUGUGAAUUGCCUCAGGGACUGUUUUCACCAUUCUUCAACCUGAUCCUGAUCAAAGGGUGUGGGAUGGCAUCACUGAAGAGCUGGGACAUGACUCUAUUCUGCUUGUAUUUAGCUGAAGGUACAAGCAUGCUCAUAACUGAUUUUUCAGGUAUUUUAAAUUUUUUUUACAUUUAUUACUUAAUUUCUAGGAGAUUCAUUGUGCACAAUCAAGUCUUACAUACAAUGUCAUGAGUAUUAUUUUAGGUGUGAAACCAGAAUAUGCUUUAAAUGUCUUCACAAGCCACUGAGACUCAAAAUAUAAAACUUAUGUUUAAAUGAAAGGGAAAGAAAACUACAAGGGUAAAUAAAACAUGUCUCAGCUGACUUUUCAGAUGAACCUACCUAAGUAAGAGAUCUAGAAGAGCUGUUUCUCCCACACCAAUUUUUUAAAGAUUUAUAGAAGGUGUUUUUCAACUUUGGAUGUCUUAACUCAAAAACAUUCCAAAGAGAGUCACUUUGGCCUCCUUGGUUGAUUUUUAGUUCAAUUCUGCAUCUUUUUGUAGAAAGAGAGUUUCUUUUAGUAGAGAGCAUUAAUAUUAUUUUGAUCAAAUAAAUUGAAAGCAAAAAGAAAGUUCUUAGAAUAAUUUUUUUCUUGCUUGAGGCCUGAAUUUAUCAAAUUUCGAAGCUAAGAGAGAUUUCUUCUGAACACAAGUCCCCUUUCACAUUUUGUCUCUAGACUAGCAGCAAAUCAAGAAAAUAAGGAGGUGACCAGCAUCAAUGAGCAGGAAACUCCUGAUUAAGGGCAACAGAUAAGGAUGUGGAAGGAAGAAAUAGGAAUAUCUACCCAGGGGUAAUAGGGAGACAUUGCCUGAUCCUGCAGGGAUGGAACUGAGAAAAUUCAACUGGAGCUGAAAUUAGCAGGGGAUGUGAAGGGCAGAUAGAUGUAAAUUGGUAGCAAAAAAGAAACCCAAAUAAAUGAAAAUGGGGGCCCCAUGGCUCAGUGGAACAGGAAACCUAGUGUUAAGGGGGUGUGAUAAAGACUGAGGUGCUAAAUUCCUUUUUUUAUCAGCCUCAUUUUUGCUGAAAAAAUUUGCUGGAGGGACUUGUGGACUUUGGUGAAGAAGAAGUUGAACUGAUUCAGCAGUGAACCCCCCCAAAACCAGCCAU